UCAGGCCUAACACAUGCAAGUCGAACGGUAACAGGUCUUCGGAUGCUGACGAGUGGCGAACGGGUGAGUAAUGCAUCGGAACGUGCCCAGUUGUGGGGGAUAACUGCUCGAAAGAGCAGCUAAUACCGCAUACGACCUGAGGGUGAAAGCGGGGGAUCGCAAGACCUCGCGCAAUUGGAGCGGCCGAUGUCAGAUUAGGUAGUUGGUGGGGUAAAGGCCUACCAAGCCGACGAUCUGUAGUUGGUCUGAGAGGACGACCAGCCACACUGGGACUGAGACACGGCCCAGACUCCUACGGGAGGCAGCAGUGGGGAAUUUUGGACAAUGGGCGCAAGCCUGAUCCAAAAAGGCCGCGUGCAGGAAGAAGGCCUUCGGGUUGUCUUUAAAGGGGUCAGGGAAGAAAUCCUCUGGGUUAAUACCCCGGGGGG
rnacentral:rRNA from 1 species